rnacentral:rRNA from 1 species
AUUGAACGCUGGCGGCAUGCCUUACACAUGCAAGUCGAACGGCAGCACGGGAGCAAUCCUGGUGGCGAGUGGCGAACGGGUGAGUAAUAUAUCGGAACGUGCCCAGUCGUGGGGGAUAACGUAGCGAAAGCUACGCUAAUACCGCAUACGAUCUAUGGAUGAAAGCGGGGGAUCGCAAGACCUCGCGCGAUUGGAGCGGCCGAUAUCAGAUUAGGUAGUUGGUGAGGUAAAGGCUCACCAAGCCAACGAUCUGUAGCUGGUCUGAGAGGACGGACCAGCCACACUGGAACUGAGACACGGUCCAGACUCCUACGGGAGGCAGCAGUGGGGAAUAUUGGACAAUGGGCGCAAGCCUGAUCCAGCAAUGCCGCGUGCAGGAUGAAGGCC